UGGUGUGCUCUACCCACUGAGCCAGCCAGGUGCCCCUGAACUUUAUAUUAUGGAAAAAAUUCAAACAUUCACUUUAGUAGAGAAAGUAAUGCAAGGUACCCUCAUGAAUCUAUCUCCCAGAUCCCACACUUACCAACUCAUGGCCAGUCUUGCUGUAUCCAAACCCCCAACCUCACUUGAGGACUGACUUACAGCUAGGCUGACUGGUUAAGUGCAUGACCUUCUACAGCCAGAAUUUAAAGCCAGGCUAAGACUUUCUAGCCAAGCUAUUUUGAGCAAGAUACUUGGGCUUACUGUGACUUGGUUUCUUCAUCUGUAAAGAGAUUGGAUGAUAAACAGAGCUGUUGAGAGGCCUGAGACAAAACUCAUACAGUGACUGAACAUUCUUUGGUAUAUAGUAAGUCCUCAAAGAGUGUUAACUUUUAUUAUUUAUAAUAAACCUUGAGGUCCUGGAGCCACAGAGAGAAUGGAUUCUACUCUGUAGCACAUCCAAGAAGGCUGUGUUCCAUGGUGCCUAGUCCUAACUAAUCUAGAAGCUUUGAAGGGUUUUAUCCUUCUGUUGUAGGUCUUCUGACACCAUUCACCCCUUGUGUCCCCCCAAAACCCCCUUUCCCCCAAGUUUUGGCUUGGAGAUUUCCAACCUGGAGUCUGGAAACCCAGUGACAGUCCUGGGGCUAGCAACCGAGUUUCUCUUCCCCUGGAAAGAACGGCUUGCUGGGAGGAAGGAUCCCGACAGCCCACUCUAAGCAAAAACCUAAGAAGAAAAUGGUUGGCUUUGAUGACAUCAAAACUGAAGGUUUCUCUUCAAUGACAGUCAUCAUAUACACAACGGAAGAGGCCAGAAAGAGAAGAGACACAGAGGAAGGCAGCCACGUGAAGACAGAAGUAGGCAGGGAUUGGGGUGAGGCUGCCACAAACCAAGGAGCAACUGCUUAAUGGCUACAGAGUUUCCUUUUCAGGUGAUGAAAAUAAUUCUGGAACACUUUCCAAAUGUUCAUUUCCAGUGAAAAUGUUUGGAACUAGAUAGAGGUUGCAUAACAUU